AUCGCUUCUCGGCCUUUUGGCUAAGAUCAAGUGUAGAGGAGCCGGAGGUGCCUGGAGACAUCGCCCCUUGGCCUUGUGGCAUCGGUACUUGUACCUUAAGCCACAUGCUGCUAUUAGGGGGCUUUCUAUUCUGGGCAACGAGGAGCGGUCACCCCUUGCUACAGCGGUAACCCUA
rnacentral:snRNA from 1 species